UACGUAGGGUGCAAGCGUUAAUCGGAAUUACUGGGCGUAAAGCGUGCGCAGGCGGUUGUGUAAGACAGGUGUGAAAUCCCCGGGCUUAACCUGGGAACUGCAUUUGUGACUGCAUCGCUGGAGUGCGGCAGAGGGGGAUGGAAUUCCGCGUGUAGCAGUGAAAUGCGUAGAUAUGCGGAGGAACACCGAUGGCGAAGGCAAUCCCCUGGGCCUGCACUGACGCUCAUGCACGAAAGCGUGGGGAGCAAACAGG
rnacentral:rRNA from 1 species